rnacentral:tmRNA from 1 species
GGGGGCGUAAAGGUUUCGACGGGAUGAUUGAAAUAUUGACGGCGUGCAGAGGAUUCUCGUUGGCCUCUUUAAAAAACGAGAGAUUAAAAUAAACGCAAAACCUAAUUUUGCACCUUUAGCAGCUUAAGCUGGCUAAACAUCCCACCGGAAAUCACGGGGUCCGGAUCGGGGUGUCAUCUACCGUGAAAACCCGAUAAUCAAAGCUUUGAGGUUAAAGGGUAAACUAUGAAGCUACCGAUAAAGCACCCGGCUUACAGGGGACUUUAAAGGGAAAUUAAACAGUAAGCUACGCAUGUAGAAGUCGGUACGGACAUUGUUUCGGACGAGGGUUCGAUUCCCUCCGCCUCCACCA